rnacentral:rRNA from 1 species
AGGACGAACGCUGGCGGCGUGCUUAACACAUGCAAGUCGAGCGGAAAGGCCCUUCGGGGUACUCGAGCGGCGAACGGGUGAGUAACACGUGAGUAAUCUGCCCCUAGCUCUGGGAUAGCUCCGGGAAACCGGGAUUAAUACCAGAUACGACCACUUUAGACAUCUUCUGUGGUGGAAAGAACUUCGGCUAGGGAUGAACUCGCGGCCUAUCAGCUUGUUGGUGAGGUAACGGCUCACCAAGGCGACGACGGGUAGCCGGCCUGAGAGGGCGACCGGCCACACUGGGACUGAGACACGGCCCAGACUCCUACGGGAGGCAGCAGUGGGGAAUAUUGCGCAAUGGGCGAAAGCCUGACGCAGCGACGCCGCGUGGGGGAUGAAGGCCUUCGGGUUGUAAACCCCUUUCAGCAGGGACGAAGCGAAGUGACGGUACCUGCAGAAGAGCGCCGGCUAACUACGCGCCAGCAGCCGC